AGAGUAUUUAAUUAUAGUAUAAAAAUUAUAUUUAUUAUAUUAUUUUAUAUAUGAAUUUUGUUUUAAUAAGAUUUUAGUAGUAUAUAAUUUUAAAUUUAAAAUAAUUUUUGAUUUAGAUAAUAAUUUAAAAAUUGACAAAGUUUGUGCCAGCAGUUGCGGUUACACAGACAAUUUAAUAUAAUUUUUUUAAUUGAAAUAAAAUGAAAAGUAUUAAUAAAAAUUAAAUUUUUAAGGUGAAAUUUUAAAUUUAAUUAAUUAUGGUUUUAUUAAUUGAUUUUGUAAAAUUAAAAUAUAAACUAGGAUUAGAUACCCUAUUAUUUUGAUUGUAUAACGAUAAAUUAGAUGAUUAAUAGUUAAGUUCUUUAAAGUUAAAUAAUUUGGCGGUAUUUUAGUCUUUUCAGAGGAACCUGUCCUAUAAUUGAUAAUCCACGUUUAAAAUUACUUAAAUUAGAAAUUUAUAUAUCAUCGUGAAAAAUAUUUUUUUAGAAUUAAAUAUUUUUAAUAUAAAAUUUUAUAAUAAUUCAGAUCAAGGUAUAGUUAAUAUUUAAGAAGAGAUGGGUUACAAUAAAGUUAUUUAUGAAAAUAAAAUUUAAAAUUUUAUAGAAAAUGGAUUUGAAGGUAAUUAAAUUUAUAUUUUUUUUAUGAUUUAGCUCUAAAAUAUGCACAUAUCGCCCGUCGCUUUCAUUUUUAAAGUGAAAUAAGUCGUAACAAAGUAGAUUUACUGGAAGGUGAAUCUAGAAGUAC
rnacentral:ncRNA from 1 species